UAUAUAUAUGUGUGUUAUUACUGCUGUUGAUAUCGUAUUAAACUGUAUCAAUGCACUGACUAUCAAUUUGCAUUUAUUCCACUUAUGGUAGCUAACUAACUUGCACAUGGUUCUUAUAAAAGCUAACUUUAUCUACUUUCCCAUUAAGCUACUUUUUUCAGCUAGACAGUAUAAUUAAAAGUAACUGGGAUGCGUAUUUAUUUUUGGUUUAACGUUAUAUUAAUUUCCGUAUUUUCUGACCUGAAUAACAUAACUUAGAACUUUGGCCACGUGCAUAGCUUAAGUUAAAUCCGAGAGGAAAAAAUGGUUUUAGGUGUUAACUGUUUAAAGAUUAAAAUAGCGAUGUGUCAUUAAACGAUUACUAAACCAACUGCAAUUUUAAAUGUAUUUAAAUCGUACAUGGAUAACUUCCAACAGCUGCCAGUUGGUCGGGUGUUCUAUGUGAACCAUGGUUUUACCCCGUCUGUGUCUUUUGCUGUUGGUCUGCUCUUGUUCUGUGGUUUAACGUUUGACGGCAAAUAAAGACAGUUAUAAACUACUGCAAUUAGUAAAUGACAGUACUAUUCUAAUAAUUCUCUAAAAAUAUAAUGCUGGCUUUGUAAUUUCAUAAUCAAAAGUAUGCUUUUGUUUCUAACUAAAACCAUUUUUUUUCCUUUUCAGAUACAUCAAGCAUCUUUUCUUACAUCUAAAUGGUGGGACAACCUCCUAGACCUUAUAUGUGAAUGUGGCCAUGCAAAGCGUGUGACAUUUCAUUAUCUACCCGGUAUGAAUUGCUAAAACAUUUUAGGCUGAAACAUUUCCACUAUGGUCGGAAUUGCCGGUAUCCCUGUUUAUAUGCAGAGCUAUCCACUUGUGGCCUAUACAGUUUGUUCCAAACGUAUGGUAACCCUGAAGAGACACAUCGUCAUCAAAGAUUAAAAAAUCAGGAUGGCAGGACCAGUUAGCUUCAGAGUCCUUUUUGGAAGUGAAGAUGAUGCAAGAAAACUAACCAUUAAAUCCGGAAUACCGUCUUCUGUGGAUGAAUUGGCUUUUGAAAUUAAGACCUUCUUUGGAGUAACAGAGCAGUUUAGGCUUCAAUACAAAGACGUAGACUUUGGAAACGAAUUCAUGAACCUCUUAUCAAUUUCUGAUAUUCAAGAUCGCAGUACUUUGAAAGUGGUAUACUUAUCUUGUGAGGCUACCACCUCCGCAAUAUCCUCAGCUCCAUCCACUAAAGAUAACUGCUCCACAAUCCCAGUUACUCCCUCCAAUGUAUCUUGCAGCUCCUCGUCACAAGAACCAAGUGAUUCAGCAUCUGUUGACUCCUGUAGCAGCAAUGAUACUGUCAUAUUGUCAUCUCCUGACUCCCGGUCUUGCACUUGGCCUAAAGAUUUUGUAGUGCCACGAUUUUCAUAUUGUGCCGAGAUGCAGCUCCAGAAAGGAAAUGAUGAAUUCAAUGCAAGUGGAACUCUCCUAUCUCUUACGCCCAAACUCAGAUCUGAUAUUCUUGAAGGCAUUGCAGAAGAAAUAAUCAAGUAUACAGCAUAUCCAAAGGACAAUCAGUUUGAAAAAGUUGCUGAGGCCUUGAUACA